AGAGUAUAUGGAUUAGGAAUAAUAAUAAACUUUCUGUUUAUUUUUUGUUUGUUAAUUUGUUUGUUUCCAAAUUGAUCAGUUUCUGCAGUGCCAAAAAUUCUGUAAUGGCUAAAUGCCAUUGGCAGUUCUCAUGUACUUUGCCUAUAUUAAUCAAGGCCUAAUGUGUUCCUCAAAACCUUUACAAUAGAUUUUUUUGUUGUUGUUCAAGAAUGUAAGAAAAAAAUUAACCUCUUUUUGACCUUUUUUUUUCAGCUAAAAUGAAGUUGUGGUACUGGCUGCUGGAAAAACAAACAGAAGCUGAAUACAUUCAUUAUGAGGCAACAACCCCAGAAGCCCUUAAUUUACAUACCAUAGUUACUGAGUUACUUCUCAGAGGAUAGUAAUUCUCCAUAUUAUUUAACUCUUCAAGUAAAAUCUGUGCGUGGAUGAUUAGCCUUCAACUACACAUUCAACAGAAGUGAUAAAUGAUGGAGUAAAUUCUUGUCUUACCACAUUCUCCUGUCAGACACUCAAGUGACUGCUGAAAUAUGAAGUUACAACAGAACCAGAGAAAUAUUUCCUUAAAGUGCAAUAGAUUCUGAAAGAAAAUUUUU